rnacentral:misc_RNA from 1 species
GCAACUCGCUCACCUCCCGCUGUGUGGCAUCGCUGCUUCGUCCAGCUACUUCCGCCGCCCCGACAAUUCAGUCCAGCGCCAGCCGCAACUCGCUGCGCCGCAGGGCACACCGCCAAAAGCCGUCCCGACUUCGACGGCUCUCGCUCGACUUGCAGGCGGCGCGCAGGGCUGCGCCGACAGCCGUGGCCAGGAUGUCGAGCCACGUUAACCGAGUUUCGCCAUCGUAUUUCGCCCGACAUCGGUUUCUGCCGAAACGCUCGUCUGCCUCCCUCGACCCGCUCGAACGCUCAAGCUCUGCUGCACCUCCGAGAGAAGGAGAUCGAGGUAGCAGGACUUGCAUAACCUUCAGUAGCUCAUACAGGUUUCCCUCGUUGCAACCCGAGAUUCUGCCACCUACCAU